AUAACAAUGCGGGACUCUUAUGAGGCUUCGUAAUUGGAAUGAGUACAUUCUAAAUCCUUUAACGAGGAACUAUUGGAGGGCAAGUCUGGUGCCAGCAGCCGCGGUAAUUCCAGCUCCAAUAGCGUAUAUUAAAGUUGUUGCGUCUAAAAAGCUCGUAGUUUGAAAACUUGCCUUGGCUUACAACAGACGUCUAAGGGCGUCACCGUUUGUCGAGAGCAAAUAUGGGUGACUGUUCUUGCCUUCUUCACUGAUUGGCUCGUAAAAGUCAUCGAAGAUCACUUUGAUUAAAUUAGGGUGCUCAAAGCAAGUGUGCUACUUGAAUAUGAAUGCAUGGAAUGAUGGAAUAUGUUGUUGUUCUAUUUGUUGGUUUUUUGAAUCACGAAAUGAUUGAAAGGAACUGUUGGGGGCAUUCGUAUUGUUGUGAGAGAGGUGAAAUUCUUAGACCAUAGCAAGACGAACUACUGCGAAAGCAUUUGCCAAGAAUGUUUUCAUUGAUCAAGAACGAAAGUUAGAGGUUCGAAGGCGAUCAGAUACCGCCCUAGUUCUAACCAUAAACUAUGCCGACUAGCAAUUUGCUUUGUAUUUUUAUGACUAAGUGAGAGGCCACGGGAAACCAAAGUAGGGUUAUGGGGGAAGUAUGGUUGCAAAGCUGAAACUUAAAGGAAUUGACGGAAGGGCACCACCAGGAGUGGAGCCUGCGGCUUAAUUUGACCCAACACGGGAAAACUUACCUGGUCCUGACACUAGAAGGAUUGACAGAUUGAUAGCUCUUUCUUGAUUUGGUGGAUGGUGGUGCAUGGCCGUUCUUAGUUGGUGGAGUGAUUUGUCUGGUUAAUUCCGAUAACGAACGAGACUCUAGCCUAUUAAAUAAUAUGCGGAAUCAAUUUCUCCCGCGUUAUUUCUUAAUGGGAUCAAGCGUGUUUAACGCUUUGAAACAGAGCAAUAACAGGUCUGUGAUGCCCUUAGAUGUUCGGGGCUGCACGCGCGCUACAUUGAAGAACAAAGUGAGCCCUCUGGCUUUUAACAAAGCUAGAAAUCUUUUAAUGUUCUUCUUAAUGGGGAUAGGGGAUUGCAAUUGUGCCCCUUGAACGAGGAAUUCCCAGUAAGUGCUAGUCAUUAGCUAGUACUGAUUACGUCCCUGCCCUUUGUACACACCGCCCGUCGCUACUACCGAUUGAAUAGUUUAGUGAGAUCAUCUGAGUGUUAGUAUGUGCAUUCUGUGCUUGUAUGGUGUACGAAGAAGAUCAAACUUGAUUAUUUAGAGGAAGUAAAAGUC
rnacentral:rRNA from 1 species